rnacentral:misc_RNA from 1 species
GAUGAAGAACGCAGCGAAAUGCGAUAAGUAAUGUGAAUUGCAGAAUUCAGUGAAUCAUCGAAUCUUUGAACGCAUCUUGCGCUCCUUGGUAUUCUGAGGAGCAUGCCUGUUUGUGUGUCAUUAAAUUCUCAACUACACUGACUUUGAAUUGGUGUGGCUUGGAUUUGGGGGGAAAAUUGUUGUGGGCUUUUUGUAUAGUCUGCUCCCCUGAAAUUGAUUAGCGGUACCUUUGUGGAACUGUCUACAGGUGUGAUAAUUAUCUACAUCUUAGACAUCUGCUGGAAUGCUGCUUUCUAAACCUUACUUGUAUUGACAAUCUUGACCUCAAAUCAGGUAGGACUACCCGCUGAACUUAAGCAUAUCAAUAAGCGGAGGA